GCUCAACGAUGGAAGGGGUUCCGGCUCGUUUCGUCUCCGUAGUAGACGCAGCGGACGACGGCGGUCUUUGUGGACGCAACGGCGAGGCGAGAUGUGCCUGCUGGCCAUGGCAGAGUGAGGCGAGCGGCAACGACCGUGCUCGGCGAUGGAUCUGGAGGAGGUGACGAGUGCGUGGGCAAGAGAGAGAGCGAGGGGGCGCAAGUGGGGAGCGGUGAGUGGACGGGAGGGCUCGAGGCGUCGAGGGGACGGCGCCCUUAUCCCCUC
rnacentral:rRNA from 1 species